UACGUAGGGCGCAAGCGUUGUCCGGAAUUAUUGGGCGUAAAGAGCUCGUAGGCGGUUUGUCGCGUCGAAAUGUGAAAACCCGGGGCUCAACCCCGGGCCUGCAUUCGAUACGGGCAGACUAGAGUUCGGUAGGGGAGUCUGGAAUUCCUGGUGUAGCGGUGAAAUGCGCAGAUAUCAAGGAGGAACACCGGUGGCGAAGGCGGGACUCUGGGGCCGAUACU
rnacentral:rRNA from 1 species